rnacentral:rRNA from 1 species
GUGGGGAAUAUUGGACAAUGGGGGAAACCCUGAUCCAGCCAUGCCGCGUGUGUGAAGAAGGCCUUUUGGUUGUAAAGCACUUUAAGCAGUGAAGAAGACUCCGUGGUUAAUACCCACGGACGAUGACAUUAGCUGCAGAAUAAGCACCGGCUAACUCUGUGCCAGCAGCCGCGGUAAUACAGAGGGUGCAAGCGUUAAUCGGAAUUACUGGGCGUAAAGGGAGCGUAGGUGGCUCUAUAAGUCAGAUGUGAAAUCCCCGGGCUUAACCUGGGAACUGCAUCUGAAACUGUAGAGCUAGAGUAUGUGAGAGGAAGGUAGAAUUCCAGGUGUAGCGGUGAAAUGCGUAGAGAUCUGGAGGAAUACCGAUGGCGAAGGCAGCCUUCUGGCAUAAUACUGACACUGAGGCUCGAAAGCGUGGGUAGCAAACAGGAUUAGAAACCCUAGUAGUCC